AAUCUGGGAUGGAAAAAGGUUUGCAGAGCUAGCUUACUUUUGGAACCCUGAUGAUGAAUGGGUGCUUCCUGUAUAUUGUCCAAAUUCUGACUGUAACACUGUGAUUUCUGCAACCAAGGUCAUUAACUUUCCAACUGCAUUUCGAAAGCAGAGUGUCACUUGCCCUAGUUGUUUCAAUCAGUUCGAAACAGAGAUAAAGACAACAACUGGAGAUCCAAGGAACAUAGCUUACAUAACACAUUGGGAUGGAUGGCAACCCAUUUCAUCUACAGCUAGAGGCUGUGGUGCCAUUGAAGUCACUAUCGCUACCAUGUCAAAAUCAAGCAGAUGCACUACUGAUGAGGUUUAUGUUGUAGGUUUCAUGUGCCAACCUACUUGCUUCCCAACAAAACACCAAUCUCACUUGAUCCAUUUCUUGAACCAUUGAUUAGGGAUAUUGAGAAUGGUUUCAUAAAUGGAAUUAACGUGGACUACUCUGUAAGCUUAUGCGGGCAGCAGAUGGGAAAUGCAGUCAUACGACAUCUUAUUUUAUGCUGGUCUGGAGAUCAUGUUGGUCAAUGUGAAGUAGGCAAAAUUAUUAAGUGUGGAAAGUGUCCCUGCCGAAGAUGCAAAUUGAAAGGUGUGUAUUUUCCUGACACCAACCAUUAUUAUUAUCCUGGCUUUCGGAGGUUAACAAGGUAUCCACCUGAAGCAAAAAGUUAUCUCAAAGAUCUAGAUACAUUACAAGAAA